CUCGGUGCUCUGUCACUGCAGUUCGGCUGGAAAAGGCAGGAACAUGGGAUACUGAAGCACAGCUCGCUUUCCCCGCUGCGCUGGGAUGGCUCACUGAACCGCUGCUGCUGCACCUCACCCAGCCACACGCCGGGGCCCCGCCGCUCCCCUGAUGCGAGUCCUGCCUGUGGGGCUGCGUAGCCGCGGCACAGACAGAAGCUUCUCUCACGAGCAGCAAGGUCAAGACAGUGAGCCCAGCUCUCUAUGUACUGGCUACUAGCUGAGGCCGAGCCUUUGAUGUUGGGAGUGGGAAGACUUCCCAAGAUUGAAGGGCUAACUUCCUCCAUUACACACCACAAAGAUUCUUCAAUCUAAGAAAAAAAAGGAGUCUUCUGGGUAGAGCUAAGAAACAACUUCUAUUAUAUGAAAAAGGAUUGAAAAUAUUAAAAUGAGGGACAGGAGAGAGCAUCCAGGCUCUGUGAGGAUUUAGACCAGCUACAUUCACAAGUCAGGUAGGAUCCUUGGAUCAUUUUCACCCUGAAGACAGAUGUUGAUCUCGCAUAGUGAAGAGAUGCUCUUUAACAGAACUAAAAUGUGUCACUUCCAAGAGAAGAAUAUUGGCAUCACAUUUUGUACAAAAUCUAAUAGUUACAGUAACACUAGUUGGAUGUUAUAGAGGAAUUAUAUAUUUUAAUACAAAUACGCCCAAGUUUAGAACUCAGUUCUUACUUUUAUUGUUACAAUAUUCU